CAAAACUUGAAUACGCGUGUGCUGCUUGGGAUCCCUAUCUUCAAAAGGACAUCGCUUCUCUUGAGAGAGUCCAGAGAAAAGCAGCACGGUUUUGUAGCAACAAUUAUCAUCCCACAGCCAGUGUCACAGACAUGCUACACGAGUUAGGAUGGACCACCUUGGAGCUAAGAAGAACAAUGACUCGGCUAGCCUUGUUAUAUAAGAUGAGCCGAGGGCAAAUCGAUGUCGACACCGACACUCAUCUGAAUCCAAACACCGAACUUAGAACUCGCGCAAGCCAUCAAUAUAGAUAUAUACAAGACAAAGCCACAAAGAACACGUAUUUUUAUUCUUUUUUCCCUAGAACUAUAAGGCAUUGGAAUAGUCUACCAGCAGAG